rfam:Salmo salar isolate Sally breed double haploid chromosome ssa07, whole genome shotgun sequence.
ACCCUAGUGGCCUAAUGGAUAAGGCACUGGCCUUCUAAGCCAGGGGUUGUGGGUUCGAGUCCCAUCUGGGGUG